AGAGUUUGAUCCUGGCUCAGAACGAACGCUGGCGGCGUGCCUAACACAUGCAAGUCGAACGCGAAAGGGAGCAAUCCCCGGUAGCGUGGCAGACGGGUGAGUAACACGUGGGUAACCUACCCGGAGGUGGGGGAUAACCCUUCGAAAGGAGGGCUAAUACCGCAUGACACCGCGGGGACCUCGGUCCUUGCGAUCAAAGCUGGCCUCUGUUUACAAGCUAGCGCCACCGGAUGGGCCCGCGCCCCAUUAGCUAGUUGGUGAGGUAACGGCUCACCAAGGCGACGAUGGGUAGCCGGCCUGAGAGGGCGAUCGGCCACACUGGAACUGCGACACGGUCCAGACUCCUACGGGAGGCAGCAGUGAGGAAUCUUGCGCAAUGGGCGAAAGCCUGACGCAGCGACGCCGCGUGGAGGAUGAAGGUCUUCGGAUUGUAAACUCCUGUCGAGUGGGACGAAUGCCGUGAGGGUGAACAAUCCUUACGGUUGACGGUACCGCUGGAGGAAGCCCCGGCUAACUCCGUGCCAGCAGCCGCGGUAAUACGGAGGGGGCUAGCGUUGUUCGGAAUCAUUGGGCGUAAAGGGCGCGUAGGCGGCCGAUCAAGUCGGAGGUGAAAUCUCUCGGCUCAACUGAGGAAUUGCCUUCGAUACUGUUCGGCUUGAGUCCUGGAGAGGGUAGCGGAAUUCUCGGUGUAGCGGUGAAAUGCGUAGAGACCGGGAAGAACACUAGUGGCGAAGGCGGCUACCUGGACAGGUACUGACGCUGAAGCGCGAAAGCUAGGGGAGCAAACAGGAUUAGAUACUCUGCUAGUCCUAGCUGUAAACGAUGGGCACUUGGUGUUGCGGGUAUCGACCUCUGCAGUGCCGAAGCUAACGCAUUAGUGCUCCGCCUGGGGAGUACGGUCGCAGGCUGAAACUCAAAGGAUG
rnacentral:rRNA from 1 species